GACAGAGGGGGCAAGCGUUGCUCGGAAUCACUGGGCGUAAAGGGCGCGUAGGCGGGCUGGCAAGUCAGUCGUGAAAUCUCUCGGCUCAACCGAGAAGCGUCGGCUGAUACUGCCGUUCUUGAGGGAUGCAGAGGAGACUGGAAUUCCCGGUGUAGCGGUGAAAUGUGUAGAGAUCGGGAGGAACACCGGUGGCGAAGGCGGGUCUCUGGGCAUUUCCUGACGCUGAGGCGCGAAAGCGUGGGGAGCAAACGGG
rnacentral:rRNA from 1 species